rnacentral:rRNA from 1 species
UUCGCCCUUAGAGUUUGAUCCUGGCUCAGGACGAACGCUGGCGGCGUGCCUAACACAUGCAAGUCGAACGGGGUAAUUUCUUCGGAGAUUACUUAGUGGCGAACGGGUGAGUAACGCGUGAGUAACCUGCCUUUCAGUGGGGGACAACAGUUGGAAACGACUGCUAAUACCGCAUAAUGUUUCGAGAGGGCAUCCUUUUGAAACCAAAGAUUUAUUGCUGAAAGAUGGACUCGCGUCUGAUUAGCUAGAUGGCGGGGUAACGGCCCACCAUGGCGACGAUCAGUAGCCGGUCUGAGAGGAUGAACGGCCACAUUGGGACUGAGAUACGGCCCAGACUCCUACGGGAGGCAGCAGUGGGGAAUAUUGGGCAAUGGGGGAAACCCUGACCCAGCAACGCCGCGUGAAGGAAGAAGGCCCUCGGGUUGUAAACUUCUUUUACCAGGGACGAAGAAAAUGACGGUACCUGGAGAAAAAGCAACGGCUAACUACGUGCCAGCAGCCGCGGAAAUACGUAGGUUGCAAGCGUUGUCCGGAUUUACUGGGUGUAAAGGGCGUGUAGGCGGAGAUGCAAAUUGGGAAGUGAAAUUCCCGGGGCUCAACCCCGGGAACUGCUUUCAAAAUUGCAUCCCCUUGAGUAUCGGAAAGGCAAGCGGAAUUCCUAGUGUAGCGGUGAAAUGCGUAGAUAUUAGGAGGAACACCAGUGGCGAAGGCGGCUUGCUGGACGACAACUGACGCUGAGGCGCGAAAGCGUGGGGAGCAAACAGGAUUAGAUACCCUGGUAGUCCACGCUGUAAACGAUGAAUACUAGGUGUGGGAGGACUGACCCCUUCCGUGCCGCAGUUAACACAAUAAGUAUUCCACCUGGGGAGUACGACCGCAAGGUUGAAACUCAAAGGAAUUGACGGGGGCCCGCACAAGCAGUGGAGUAUGUGGUUUAAUUCGAAGCAACGCGAAGAACCUUACCAGGGCUUGACAUAUACAGGAAUAACUUAGAGAUAGGUUAGCUCUUCGGAGUCUGUAUACAGGUGGUGCAUGGUUGUCGUCAGCUCGUGUCGUGAGAUGUUGGGUUAAGUCCCGCAACGAGCGCAACCCUUAUUUUCAGUAGCCAGCAGUAAGAUGGGAACUCUGAAGAGACUGCCAGGGUUAACCUGGAGGAAGGCGGGGAUGACGUCAAAUCAUCAUGCCCCUUAUGAUUUGGGCCACACACGUGCUACAAUGUCGUAAACAAAGAGACGCAAACCGGCGACGGCAAGCAAAUCUCAAAAAUAACGACCCAGUUCGGACUGCAGGCUGCAACCCGCCUGCACGAAGCUGGAAUCGCUAGUAAUCGCAGAUCAGAAUGCUGCGGUGAAUGCGUUCCCGGGUCUUGCACACACCGCCCGUCA